rnacentral:rRNA from 1 species
AACGAACGCUGGCGGCAGGCCUAACACAUGCAAGUCGAGCGCUCCAGCAAUGGAGAGCGGCAGACGGGUGAGUAACGCGUGGGAACCUACCUAGUGGUACGGAAUAGCCCAGGGAAACUUGGGGUAAUACCGUAUAUGCCCGAAAGGGGAAAGAUUUAUCGCCAUUAGAUGGGCCCGCGUCGGAUUAGCUAGUUGGUGAGGUAAUGGCUCACCAAGGCGACGAUCCGUAGCUGGUCUGAGAGGAUGACCAGCCACACUGGGACUGAGACACGGCCCAGACUCCUACGGGAGGCAGCAGUGGGGAAUAUUGGACAAUGGGCGAAAGCCUGAUCCAGCCAUGCCGCGUGAGUGACGAAGGUCUUCGGAUUGUAAAGCUCUUUUGGCGGGGACGAUAAUGACGGUACCCGCAGAAUAAGCCCCGGCUAACUUCGUGCCAGCAGCCGCAGUAAGAC